rnacentral:rRNA from 1 species
UACGAAGGGUGCAAGCGUUAAUCGGAAUUACUGGGCGUAAAGGGUGCGUAGGCGGUUGUUUAAGUCUGGUGUGAAAUCCCCGAGCUCAACUUGGGAAUUGCAAUGGAUACUGGCAGGCUGGAGUAUGGUAGAGGAAGGUGGAAUUCCCGGUGUAGCAGUGAAAUGCGUAGAGAUCGGGAGGAACACCAGUGGCGAAGGCGGCCUUCUGGACCAAUACUGACGCUCAUGCACGAAAGCGUGGGGAGCAAACAGG